CUUUUAUGAAUAUGACCACGUUCUGCUUCAGAGCCACCAGGCCGCCAGCUGACACCUGAGGGUGGGGAAAGGGGCUAUUCAUCUUCAUCCCAGGGUAGCCCAAUGAGCCUAGAGAAGAAUGAUGUCAACUCUCUCAUGGCUAUGUCACGUCCAUUGUCCGGAGAGGACAUAAUUUCAGUAGCUGAAUACCUGAUGUUACACCCGUGAGUCCUGCUCUUGCUAUGAACCAUUUAUUGUCCAAUAGAAUAAAUAGGAUCCUUGUGUUUUUGUGGUCAGUCUACUAACCAAGGAAUUGUAUUGUUUGUGUAUUACAGGCAGCGGAGGUUGAUUAAGAAACUGCUUAGAAAAAGGGUAUAUUUUUUUUUUUUCCUUGUACACUGUCUGUCAUCUUCACAAAACAUAUUUUGAUAUCAAACUUCUUAGAAAUGAUGUCACUUAUGUUGUUUCUUUACUUUUCUCUUCCUAAGAACAUGACCAUAGAUGACCUGCAGGAACGGUCAUUGGAGUCCAUUGACUGGGUGGUCAUUGUAGUUAAUGAGGUGGUUCUCCCGGCCAUAGCCUUGUACCAGAAGUCCAUAGACGACUUCUGCAUUGGGCAAGAUGAACGACCUCCCUCAUCAGUGUCCCUUGGGGAAUCUGUUACCUCUGGUAACACCAGCACUAGCCAGGGAUGUGCAGAUACGGAUAUUGUAUGUUUCACUCCUAGGUUCAGGAGGGGAAGCCCAGGGUUGCCUCCCCCCUCCUCCCAGGGGUCAGGUAAAAAACGGAUCGUGGGGGUUCUUAGGAUAAUUGCUAAAAAGUUCCACCUGCUGCUGAAGCUUAACUUGGAGCCUAGGUGUAGGCUUAUGGGCCGGCAUCUCCCAACGCUCCCCUCAGACAUGGAGGAUGAGCUCCAGAAUAGGGCAGCUAUGACUGUGGCUGUGAUUCUGCACAAUGUCCAGCUCUUCAUGGAGAGUGAUGAAGCUGGACCAUCCUCCCCUGGGGCUUUGUCCCUUCAAGGCCUUUACACCUCUGUCACUGAUUACUUGGUGUCCAGAAUGUCUAUGAUAUCCUCCAUGAUGUUCUGGAGCGCAUGUAGGAAAGCCAAGGAGAAGCUCCACGUUCUAACAUCAGGCAGUGACUGCAGAAUUUCUGGAGCAUCAAGGUUCAACAUAUCAGAGUUGGCAGUCAACGUUUGUCGGGAGAUAAAGGAUGCAGCAAGCAAGGAUCUUCCCUUCUCUGGUGCUGUAAAUAGCUUCCCAGAGGAGAGAAUGGCAACCACGAAGAUGGGAGGUCUCAUAUUUGAGAGAGUUGAAGUCCCUGAUGCUCUUCCAAGCUUCACGCCAUCUCAAGGACGGACAGAGCAGGGAUGGAUGGUUGAGCACAUUGGCUCAGCCCUAAGUGAGGACAACUUGGACAACAUCACAAGCACUCCGUUGUUCCAGAACAUGGACUACAGCCCGGCUACCACGCCCUCAGAGGGAAGGGCCUCAACCCUGCACACUCUACAGGACACCAUAACUCAGACAGUCAUGGACCAUGCCCUCUUCACAUCUGGAUUGGCGAGCCAAAGUGAGUUCCUUUCCAAAGAGAAGGAACUGGAGCUGGUCAGGGUGGUCAUUGGAAUUCUCAUUGACCAGACUGGUGCCCUUCACUGUGAUAAGACCUGCAUCUCUGCUGAGUCGUUGGUUGACAAAGUGAUAGUGGCCUGUAACAUUGUCAUGGUUAUCCUAAGAAAUUACUAUACAGCCCACGACACAAUUAUUAAAGAGGAUGAGGGCAUGCAGGAGCUCCUGGACCCCAACAUCGAUGGCUACCCCCUGCUGGUACAGUGCCUGAGCCACACCUUAGUGGGAGAUGUGGCCUGUGAGCUGGAGGUCAUGAGGGCUCAGCCUCAGGUCAUCCCAAUCUGGUCCACUAUUAUUGAAGCAGAGCUGGGGAGGGCUAAGGGAAGCGACUCCCAUGAAGCCUUCAGUGAGGAGUCCCUCCCUAUCAUCACGCAGAGGACUGUGGAGGUGCAGCAGGCAAGCAGCCCUGCUAAGAAAAUGGACGAUACCCAGCCUCCCAUCAGUCCCAUUUUAGCCAGGUCUGAGCUUGACAGUAACAGCAGUGGCAGAAGAAGCCAUAACUUAGACAGAGAUGCAGGCGUUACAGCCGAUAACAUCUUUGAUGUCAUUGUCAGGCUGGUCUAUGCUGACAGUAUCAGUGCAGAUGAUUGCGGGUUGUACAAUCCUGCAGCUAUGCUCCUGGGACAGAUCCUGGCCUCAAGUAGGCUUUGUAACAGGAUAUUCCGGGGUAAGAUCCAUUUAUUUUCUAAAGAGAUGAUCUGCCGGGUGUACCAGUUGCUCCUGGACACCAAGAUGGGCCGGGAGACAGCAUGCCGAAAAAGCGGGUCGGAGCCUGUUCUCAAAGAAAUGGCGGCCAACCCCAGGCUCUCCAAAAAGUUCUUCACGGACCUGAUCUAUUUUAUUGUAGAGCGGGCAAUGAAGAAUCUGGUGGAAAACUUAUUGGGCUUGCCACACACCCCACCAGAAGAAGCACUACAGUUGAAUGACAACUUGGCAACCUCAUCCAGUGAUGAGUCACUGCAUAGCGACAACACCUGGUCGUGUGGGGUGUGGGGCACUCUGGUGAGGGAGAGCUCCCUGGACAUGGACUCCUCCAGCUCUUUAAACCAGGACCACUGGGAGGCAGUAGGGACCAUCUGCCAGGUCCUGAGCACCAGGGUGGAAGACAUCCUCCAGGAGACCUGCGACAACCCUAAAAAAUCCAGGGACAGCAUCCAGAAAGGAUUUGAUUCUGGGGGUAAGGCCAAGGUCCCUGACGUGACCAAUGAGGAGGGCUGUGUAGGGAGUCCCACUCCAGUGGUGGACCAACCCUCACAUCAGCUAGAGAGGAUCUUCAGCUGCUCCCUACUGUCUGGGCCCUCCAGCUCAGCCAAGGCAGCAUUGGGAGCCCCUGCCCAAAAGGUGGAGGAAGUGAGAAUUGCUUCUCCAUAUAUCCGAGAGGCCAGGCAGGACUUGCUGGAGAAAGCUCCCUCCAUCCUGCAGGAAGAGAGCCUGGCUAAGGAGGACAUUCAGCUACGCUUGGCCCACGGGGUGACUUUCAUCAACUCAGAGACCCUCAGAGACAUUGUGCAGGGGAUCAUGGGUCACCUGACAUUCAUGGAAUCACUCCCAGCUGGGAGUGUGAAGGCUCCUUUCCAGCUCCAGUCGAUGCUCUUCGACAACAUACGGCAUGUUCUGAAGUAUAUGGCCGGCAUUGUCGUUGUAUUCAGCCAACAGGAGAGCAUUCAGUUUAGGGGUGAUGAUGCAGUGGCCGCCAUUGUGGAGGCUUCUGCUGAUAGACUAUCACUAGAGGCAGAGGCAAACAGUGCCCAAAUGCACAAAAGUUGUGAGAUUGCCAUUCAAUGCAUGGCUGAGACCAUCGCAUGCAGCAUUUGUGAUCACGCUGAGCUCUGGAAGUGGGAGGCCAGGAGCUCUGGAAGUGGGAGGUAUACCCCCAGCCUCGAGGGAAGUGACAGCACUGUCUCUGAGGAGCUCCUAGACAAUAGGGAAGACCUGGAGGCUCCAGCAGAGAUGGCUGAAGAUGACACUGGCUCAGAGAAGACCAGUGUCAGAUCAGAGAUCUUUGAAGACGAUGCUUGCUCAGAGAAAACCAGUGUCAGAUCAGAGGUCUUUAAAGACUACUGUGGUUUGGAGACAGACCAUCACAUGGCCGACCAGUCACUGGAGACCAACCAGUGUCUACUCAGGGCUGGACAGAGUGCCUUCUCACAGGUAAGAAGAGAGUCAGAUACCUGAACCAAGAAUCAGUAGGUAAUUUAGUUAUUGGGAGUUUGAUUGUGAUGCAUUGACUCAUAUCUGUUUCUUGCUGCUUUCAUUCUCAAACCAAGAAGGUGAAAGAAGAGGCUAUGGAGACAGGACCCGAGACAACAGGAAAGGGGAAAAAUGAAAAGAAGGUGAAGGGCUUUAUUUGACUCUUAUUUUCUUGGGGAAUAUUAAGCCCACAUGUAAUGUAACAGGCGAGUGUCAUUUACAUUGUUUGGUUUGUUUUAUUCACAGAAAUCCUCUAAGAACAAAGGAGAAAUAGAGGGAAAGAAACCAUGUAAGAGCAAAGUGGCUCCCCUUGGCUCUGAUGGUAAGAGCCAUAAUAUUGUUUUCUGUCAAAAUAUCCAUCUGAAGGGCCUCCCGGGUGGCGUAGUGGUUAAGGGCACUGUACUGCAGCACCAGCUGUGCCACCAGAGACUCUGGGUUCGUGCCCAAGCUCUGUCAUAACCGGCCGCGACCGGGAGGUCUGUGGGGCGAUGCACAAUUGGCCUAGCGUCGCCUGGGUUAGGGAGGGUUUGGCCGGUAGGGAUAUCCUUGUCUCAUCGCGCACCAGCGACUCCUGUGGCGGGCUGGGCGCAGUGCGUGCUAACCAAGGUUGCCAGGUGCACAGUGUUUCCUCCAACACAUUGGUGCGGCUGGCUUCCGGGUUGGAUGCGUGCUGUGUUAAGAAGCAGUGCGGCUUGGUUGGGUUGUGUAUUGGAGGAAGCAUGACUUUCAACCUUCGUCUCUCCCGAGCCCAUACGGGAGUUGAAGCAAUGAGACAAGAUAGUAGCUACUAAAAAAACUAUUGGAUACCACAAAAUUGGGGAGAAGAAAAAAAAACUAUCCAUGAGGCUAUUUUCCUAAAUAAAUACUAUUGUAAUGUGGUGAUUAGGUCAUGUGAUGUAUCCUGUAAUCUGUUCAGGUGCAGUGGCUGCAGAUGAGAAAAGGAAGAAACCAUCUCUCCUCCAGCACAUCUGCAAUGCCUUUGCAAGGGUCUUUUGCUUCUCCCACAAGAAAAAUAGUAGAUUAUUUCCCUCUAAUGGAGUGAGAGCUGUGCCUGCACGACUUUUUAAGGCAGCACCUCAACUCCUGUUACCAGUCCCUCUGCUUACAGUCCUACAAUAAAACAUAUGUUUGCAAUCAUCUUGUGUUGUUUUUAGCUCCUUAUCAACUGUUAAUUUAAGUGUAGUUCAACUCUUUUACUAUUCCUGUGGUAAUGAAACAACACAUUUCAACACUGUAAAACAACACAUUUCACAGCAUCUUUACAGUUUGUGAUAAUAACAUAUAUAUAACAUAUAUUAUUUUUGUUAUCCUUGUUGAUGUAAUUUGAGUAGAAAUCAAUAGUUGUGUUGUGCUGCUGUGAGCCUGUGAAGGCAAACUGUGAAUGACAGGUAGGCAGAGUGGAUGUUGGUGUUACAUCAGGGAAAGAAACAUUGGCUCAGCUGACACAUGGAACACAGCCUCAGCCUCCAGGCCCUGUUGCCUUGCCAACCCCAUCCAGUACUGAUACAGAGGGGGUUAUGUAUAAAACCUGGCUGCGCCAACGGAAAUAUAGGUUAGAGGAGAGUGGGGUAAAUUGAGCCAAAGGGUUAGUUGAGCCACCCCUAGAUGAGCUGUGGGGGCUAAUAUAGUAUAAAUGUUUGUCUUGGGGUAAGCUGAGCCAAUGGCCACCAUAUCCCGUACAAAUGAUUACAUUUUGUCAGUUUUAUUUAUAAUAUGCAAAGUAUUUUUGCAAUGCAUCACGCAUAUGAACUCAAGAUUUAUAUUGUUUCAGAGCAGACAUCAUUCCCUG
ensembl:lncRNA